rnacentral:lncRNA from 1 species
AUAAUGAUAACACUAUCAUUAUUAUUGCGUGGGCGUGGGCGCGUGGUGCAGAGUGGGCAAGGCGUUCAGAUGCCUGCCUGCCGGAGACGGGGCUGAGAGGGAACUAAUUAUCAUUAUUUUAUCUUAUUUUUCCUCGUCUUCGUCGUUCCUGAUAUUGGUAUAUCCAGUCCCCACCGAAGACCCGGAAAAAGAAGAAGGGGAAGAAAGGCCACAGCUGGGAUUUGUAUAAGUUCGACAGGGAUGGGCCUUAUUGGCCCUUAAAGUAGGUGCUGAAAUAUGGAGGACGUGGGAGGAAGGUCCAGUGCUCCUCCUACAAAGCACCACUUUCCUGACGACCCCAACAAAAAAAUCCUUCCUUAUAAUAAUAAAUGUUGUACUGAAAA